UACGAAGGGGGCUAGCGUUGUUCGGAAUCACUGGGCGUAAAGCGCACGUAGGCGGAUGUGCCAGUCAGGGGUGAAAUCCCGGAGCUCAACUUCGGAACUGCCUCUGAUACAGCACGUCUUGAGUCCGGAAGAGGUGGGUGGAAUUCCUAGUGUAGAGGUGAAAUUCGUAGAUAUUAGGAAGAACACCGGUGGCGAAGGCGGCCCACUGGUCCGGUACUGACGCUGAGGCACGAAAGCGUGGGGAGCAAACAGG
rnacentral:rRNA from 1 species